rnacentral:rRNA from 1 species
GUCCACGCCGUAAACGAUGAAUGCUAGGUGUUAGGGGUUUCGAUACCCUUGGUGCCGAAGUUAACACAUUAAGCAUUCCGCCUGGGGAGUACGCUCGCAAGAGUGAAACUCAAAGGAAUUGACGGGGACCCCGCACAAGCAGUGGAGUAUGUGGUUUAAUUCUAAGCAACGCGAAGAACCUUACCAGCUCUUGACAUCCCGAUGAAAGCAUUAGAGAUAGUGCCCCUCUUCGGAGCAUCGGAGACAGGUGGUGCAUGGUUGUCGU